rnacentral:rRNA from 1 species
GAUGGACGCUGGCGGCGUGCCUAAUACAUGCAAGUCGAGCGAAUGGAUUAAGAGCUUGCUCUUAUGAAGUUAGCGGCGGACGGGUGAGUAACACGUGGGUAACCUGCCCAUAAGACUGGGAUAACUCCGGGAAACCGGGGCUAAUACCGGAUAACAUUUUGAACCGCAUGGUUCGAAAUUGAAAGGCGGCUUCGGCUGUCACUUAUGGAUGGACCCGCGUCGCAUUAGCUAGUUGGUGAGGUAACGGCUCACCAAGGCAACGAUGCGUAGCCGACCUGAGAGGGUGAUCGGCCACACUGGGACUGAGACACGGCCCAGACUCCGACGGGAGGUAGCAGUAGGGAAUCUUCCGCAAUGGACGAAAGUCUGACGGAGCAACGCCGCGUGAGUGAUGAGGGCUUUCGGGUCGUAAAGCUCUGUUGUUAGGGAAGAACAAGUGCUAGUUGAAUAAGCUGGCACCUUGACGGUACCUAACCAGAAAGCCACGGCUAACUACGUGCCAGCAGCCGCCGUAA